rnacentral:rRNA from 1 species
UUCCAGACUCCUACGGGAGGCAGCAGUGAGGAAUAUUGGUCAAUGGCCGAAGGGCUGAACCAGCCAAGCCGCGUGAAGGAAUAAGGCCCUACGGGUCGUAAACUUCUUUAGUCAGGGAACAAAGGGAGCCACGCGUGGCGCUGUGAGUGUACCUGAAGAAUAAGCAUCGGCUAACUCCGUGCCAGCAGCCGCGGUAAUACGGAGGAUGCGAGCGUUAUCCGGAUUUAUUGGGUUUAAAGGGUGCGUAGGCGGGCUUUUAAGUCAGCGGUAAAAAUUCGGGGCUCAACCCCGUCCGGCCGUUGAAACUGGGGGCCUUGAGUGGGCGAGAAGAAGGCGGAAUGCGUGGUGUAGCGGUGAAAUGCAUAGAUAUCACGCAGAACCCCGAUUGCGAAGGCAGCCUUCCGGCGCCCUACUGACGCUGAGGCACGAAAGUGCGGGGAUCGAACAGGAUUAGAUACCCGAGUAC